UACCAAAGAAAAAGAAAACAAAAGAAUUACCCAAAAAGGAUUUUGUAAUUCUUUUGUAAAUCUUUCUUCUCCUAAAUUAUAAGAGCAGGCUGCUUGAGUGGUGCUCGGAGAUUAGGCAAAUUUGGCCGAACUCCGUUAUCAAUUUUUCGGGUACGUUCUUUCCUUAUCUCUUUUUAUUUGUUCCGCAUUUAUUUAUUAGUUUCUUUUCUAUUGUAGUAUAGUAUUCAAUAUAUAUUUGUCGGAUAUAUUUGUAGUGUUUUAUACGAUUCAUUUGGGUGUAUUUUUCUUAUUCGUGUGUACGUAAUAUUUAUGUAUACACGAGUCUAGUUGUGAUAAUACAUCGUGCACGUAAAUUCUGUCUAGGAGACUGGAUUUUAAGUGGGACCGCUUGUGACCCCUCCAGCCUUUUCUGGGAAUUUAUUUGGAAUGGUAAUUCUGUCUAAGGAGAUUGUUUCGACGAUCUUUCCUGAGAAUUAUUGAAUCGGUUUAAUCACUAGUUGUAUUUUUUGAGUGAGAAAUUACCCAAUUUCCCCUACAAUAUAUAUAUAUAUAUAUACGUGGUGGGUUAAGUGGAACUUAGGUUGUUAAU
rnacentral:lncRNA from 1 species